GGCAGUGGUGCAGCAGUCAGUCAGGGCUGUAGGGAUCAAAGCUGCAGACAGCUGGAACACUAACCAAAGGUUCUUUUCCCAGCCAUCAUCUUUCCUGGCAGAUGGUGGAGCUGAGUGGAUGGACGAGCAGCCAUAGCACAGGGAUCCAAAGCUCUGACUGGGAGGCUGCAGGACCACAUGUCAGUUUCCUCACAGCAGCCGAGCCUGCCCAUGCCAGGGAAGCCUGGGGAGCAGACCUUCACCUGCAUCCCACAUCAGAGACUAGGUGGCCCCAUUUUGGCUCCUGUGGACAGCAGAGCUAUUGAAACAUUUGUAAAAUAGCAGAGGGUUCCAGAUGGGAGGAGCCAUUGUUCAAAGUCCAGACCACCCAGCGGGCAUGUCAGAUAACCAAGGACAGAAAUUACAUUCCUCCAUAGAACCUUGUAAUGGUUUUCAGUUACUAAAGGACCAAGAAGAUAUUUACUCUUCUGAGUCUUACUCUGCUGCCCACGCUAGAGUGUAAUGGCACAAUCUUGGCUCACUACAACCUCCGUCUCCCAGGUUCAAGUGAUUCUCCUGCCUCUGCCUCCUGGAUUCAAGUGAUUCUGCCAUCUAAGCUGAAUAACUUUUACUAUUAGGGCCUGAGCAUGUAACCCAACCCUGGUGGAGGAGUUUAAAGGUCAGUUUUCUGAGAUGUUUCUGUGCAAGUUUUUCCUUUAUGAUGUCAGAAGGCAGAUGUAGUUAUGUGUGGACAUAGUUCCUGGAGCUAUGGCAGCCUUCUUGAGACCAUGAGGGAAACUCUGAGGAUGAAAACCAACAGACUGGGGAUGACAUGAAGGAAAGUAGAAACGAAAGCACAUAGGUUGGGUGCUUGAUGAUAUUGUUGUGUCCCUUAAUUAACUAAGUCUGAAAAUUAUACCCCCAGAGAUAAUAAACCUUAUUGUUUAAGCUUUAUGUAGUUACAUAUUCCAUUACCUGUUACUUUAGUAUGCAUUCAGCAUACAGUUGAGAAGGCUAAGCUUGGAGGGUAUGAGGAGAAGGAGAAGACUUGGUGGUAACACAGAAGAAAAGGAAAAGAGAAAAGUUGCUUCUGUUGAGGGGAGCGCUAUAAAUCUCUACUCCACUCCUUUGGGGAAGCCUGAGUCAAUUCCACAUGGCUUAUGAAUACUUUUGGUGUUCAUGGAUUCAUCUGGGGGACUUGAAGAAGAAUUGAGAUCUAUAUCAAGAAUGGUGCCCAGCUGGAAAUAGCUGCACUUCUGGGAUACAUGAGAAUUUGAGACCAUAUGCAAUAAACGAUAGAUGCUGUUAUUACUAUAUUAUCAGU